CCUACGGGCGGCAGCAGUGGGGGAUAUUGCACAAUGGGGGAAACCCUGAUGCAGCGACGCCGCGUGAGUGAAGAAGUAUUUCGGUAUGUAAAGCUCUAUCAGCAGGGAAGAAAAUGACAGUACCUGACCAAGAAGCCCCGGCUAACUACGUGCCAGCAGCCGCGGUACUACGUAGGGGGCAAGCGUUAUCCGGAUUUACUGGGUGUAAAGGGAGCGUAGACGGGUAUGUAAGUCUGGAGUGAAAGCCCGGGGCCCAACCCCGGGACUGCUUUGGAAACUGUGUAACUUGAGUACAGGAGGGGCAGGCGGAAUUCCUGGUGUAGCGGUGAAAUGCGUAGAUAUCAGGAGGAACACCGGCGGCGAAGGCAGCCUGCUGGACUGAAACUGACGUUGAGGCUCGAAAGCGUGGGGAGCAAACAGGAUUAGAUACCCGAGUAGUC
rnacentral:rRNA from 1 species